UGAACGCUGGCGGCGUGCCUAAUACAUGCAAGUCGAGCGAACGGACGAGAAGCUUGCUUUUCUGAUGUUAGCGGCGGACGGGUGAGUAACACGUGGAUAACCUACCUAUAAGACUGGGAUAACUUCGGGAAACCGGAGCUAAUACCGGAUAAUAUUUUGAACCGCAUGGUUCAAAAGUGAAAGACGGUCUUGCUGUCACUUAUAGAUGGAUCCGCGCUGCUUUAGCUAGUUGGUAAGGUAACGGCUUACCAAGGCAACGAUGCAUAGCCGACCUGAGAGGGUGAUCGGCCACACUGGAACUGAGACACGGUCCAGACUCCUACGGGAGGCAGCAGUAGGGAAUCUUCCGCAAUGGGCGAAAGCCUGACGGAGCAACGCCGCGUGAGUGAUGAAGGUCUUCGGAUCGUAAAACUCUGUUAUUAGGGAAGAACAUAUGUGUAAGUAACUGUGCACAUCUUGACGGUACCUAAUCAGAAAGCCACGGCUAACUACGUG
rnacentral:rRNA from 1 species